AUGAGAGUAGAGUUUAGUUGGCAGGGUAUCAUGAUAUCAGGGUUGGCAGAUGUAGGAAGAAAGGAGAAGCUGUAUAUCAAUCCAAACAUAAAAUACCUAAAAGUCUGGGAAAAAAUUUGUACUUUAUCUGCGUUAGAAUAAGAGCUUCGCCUACAUUGACAAGGCUGUUUAUGCUCUUAGCUCUAGGUUAGUUCCUGUUCAUUACUUCUCUUUUUUAUAAUUCUAUCUUGCUGUAUUUAGUAUCACUAUCUGAAUUUGGUUACAUGCCUACCAAGUUCCUUAGGAGAACUAAUAUGAGAUCUGGUGAAACAAGGUGACCAUAAUGUGAAUGCAAAGGUUAUGCGAUAAAAACUCGUCUGCACACCCACCAAGGAGCACAGAGAGACAAUGUCAGUAUUACUUGAGAAACAGAAUGAUACCCUGUCCCAGCUGCCCAUUCCAGGAGCCACCAGCCUAUCAAAGCCCCAUCUGCACAAGCCUGGAGAAGCACAGGAGAGGGCAACUCAAACUACAGACUCCUGAGCAACGAACACCUUGUGUGGAUCUUUCCAGAGCUGACCCAGGAGACCUUCAACCCUCACAUCCAGGUUUGAAACCCUCCAAGAUGAGUCAUGAAGAGCAGCCUUCUCAAUCACCUUGUGGACUAAGGGUGGUUGCUGUCCAGGCGUGAGACAUAAUGGCAUGAAGGUGAAGAGAGUUUCAGCAUUGCAACAGACUUACUGAGGAAGGAACCAAAGGUGGAAAAAGAGAAGAACUUGGGUGAUUCGGAGGGGAAGAAAUGUGGCAAAAUAGAGGGGGGUGAUGAGGUGCCAGAAGAAGGCAUGUUUGGAAGGCAAGCAAUUCCUUGGUCUCAGUUCCAGUGUUCAUCACAGACCUGGCUUGGAGUCUUUGUGGGCUGAAAGACAUUAAAUGUGACAGAGACACAUUGCCUGUAGUUUUUAUUAGAAUCUGAAAAGGAGUAGAAUAUAGUCAGUCAUACUUAACUUCAGUUUAAUUAAAUCUGAGCUAAAUUCCACCAAGUCUUUCCUGAACACCAGGAAUUUUCCCUAAUUCUGGAAACUUAAGGAGAUUUUGAAUGACAACAGAAGGGGUGUUAAAAUCCUCCUCCAAGGUUGUUAGACCACUAAAGGACAACAUGAGAGGUUUGUCUCUCGCAGGAUAACUGUUGCGUUAUUUUGGAGAGUGGGCCUUUUUACUUCAUUUUACUUGGUUUGUUUUGUGGGUUUUUUGUUUGUGGGGUGGGUGUUUUGGUUGUUGUUUUUUUUUUUGUUGUUUUUUUUUUUUUGAGGUGGUUUUAAAUAGGCUUCUGAGGAAGUGUAGUGAGACUCCUCAGUGGAACUUUGAAGGGAGUUAUGUGAACAAGCAGGUGAUAUUAGCCUUAAGAAACAUAAGUGAUAUUAGGUUUUCCUUCCUUUUUCUGAGUGAACCAUGAUCCAAAACUCCUUGUAGAUGCAGAAGUUCAGAACAAUAUCUUGGAGAGUUCAAGGAGCUUUUUAUUUGUUUUUGAAAGGCAUUAACUUAUUCAUGCUACACACUUCUAUCUAAAGGCUGGUACUUCAAAGCAGAAUUAUUGGACAGUAGUUCAAGUGAUCUUUGAGCCAAAGUUGAUUCGUAUUUCUGUUCUGUUUAAAGUUGAGCUCUUUGUGAGGUCUGAAAUACUUUUUCAGCUCAACACACAUAGAAUUAGUCAGGGAUUUACUGGUUCUCCUUAAUAGUAAAAUACUAUGUUAAUUCUUGAUGCACUAUACUAAACUAAUUUCUUUGUAUAUGUCUUUUGGAAACCAAACUCACCACUGCUCUUUGGUAUGUUGCCUUUAAGCUCAUUUGCAGUAAAAGUGUUUGUCACUAUGUAACUUAAAAUAGGUUAACUUUGUUUUACCAACGAAAAAAGAAUGUAUUAAAGAACUGGCGUGUCAUUGCAAACUAGCUGCUGUAAUAGUCUUCCACACAGACUGUGAAAACAUUAGCAUAAUCACAACUGUUACAAUGCAUUUGUGGGUCAUGAGUAAAUGCCUUGCUGCUCCCUGCCAUUAAAAAAACCCAGAACGUCAGUGAUGAGUCUAGCCUCAUGUGUUUGCAUUUGAUCAAGCUGAUUCAGUAAUUAAUAGACCAAUUCUUGUCCAGUCUUAUUUCUACAGGUGGGAACUUCACACCUCCCCUAGGCUGCCCUAGAAGCUUAUAGUACUGCCAGUUGUAAGUUUGCUGUGUAUGGAGUAUUUAGGAUAAUCAUUUCAUCAUCAUUGGCUGAUAAGAAUAAUUGAUUGCACUUCAUUUUAGAACAUUCCUUUUUGCACUGGUAGUUACUGUAUCUUCCGCUGUCAUGUUCUGUGCACUUAAGGUUGUCAU